GAUGAACGCUAGCGGCAGGCCUAAUACAUGCAAGUCGAACGGUGUAGCAAUACACAGUGGCGCACGGGUGCGUAACACGUAUGCAACCUACCUAUUAUUGGGGGAUAGCCUUUGGAAACGGAGAUUAAUACCGCAUAAGACAGUGACAUGGCAUCAUGUAGCUGUUAAAGCUUUGGCGAUAAUAGAUGGGCAUGCGUCCAAUUAGUUAGUUGGUGAGGUAAUGGCUCACCAAGACGAUGAUUGGUAGGGGAUCUGAGAGGAUAAUCCCCCACACUGGCACUGAGAUACGGGCCAGACUCCUACGGGAGGCAGCAGUAGGGAAUAUUGGGCAAUGGGCGGAAGUCUGACCCAGCCAUGCCGCGUGCAGGAUGACGGCGUUAUGCGUUGUAAACUGCUUUUUUAUAGGAAGAAGGAGACCUUGCGAGGUUUGGUGACGGUACUAUAAGAAUAAGCACCGGCUAACUCCGUGCCAGCAGCCGCAGUAACAC
rnacentral:rRNA from 1 species